rnacentral:rRNA from 1 species
CCUACGGGCGGCUGCAGUGGGGAAUAUUGCACAAUGGGCGCAAGCCUGAUGCAGCCAUGCCGCGUGUGUGAAGAAGGCCUUCGGGUUGUAAAGCACUUUCAGCGGGGAGGAAGGCGGUGAGGUUAAUAACCUCAUCGAUUGACGUUACCCGCAGAAGAAGCACCGGCUAACUCCGUGCCAGCAGCCGCGGUAAUACGGAGGGUGCAAGCGUUAAUCGGAAUUACUGGGCGUAAAGCGCACGCAGGCGGUCUGUCAAGUCGGAUGUGAAAUCCCCGGGCUCAACCUGGGAACUGCAUUCGAAACUGGCAGGCUAGAGUCUUGUAGAGGGGGGUAGAAUUCCAGGUGUAGCGGUGAAAUGCGUAGAGAUCUGGAGGAAUACCGGUGGCGAAGGCGGCCCCCUGGACAAAGACUGACGCUCAGGUGCGAAAGCGUAGGGAGCAAACAGGAUUAGAUACCCGGGUAGUC